UGCUUUGUAAAUUUAUUAUAUAUAAUUUAUAAUAUUUUAACAUAUGCAAACUCUCUCUCUCUCUCGGGAAAUAAGAAUGGCAACUUCACAUUCUCUUUCUUUUCUCCUCUUCUUUCACUUGGUCUUUUCUCUUGGUUUUACUUCCUUUGCGUCAACUCAAUACUCUCGAUCAUCCAUUGCUUCUGACCAGAUCAAGUUCUGGUCUGAAAAUGUGCACAACAAAAUGCCCGAUUCUGUCUUCAAAAAACUAUCCCCAUUAACAAAAAGGGAUUGUGAUUAUUACAAAAAGCUGAUAACCAAAAUAGAUUUCUCAGAAAAUCCUAGUUUUUGCUCACUUGCUAAACUCUCUUGUUCAUCCGGAUUACACGAUGGUGGGGGGCAAAGAGCUACCAAUACGUACAGUAAUAAUGGUGCAUUACCUGUCAACUCCAAUACGGCAGACAAAUUUUCUUACUUCAGAAUCUCAACCCUUACAGAAGGAAAUAAAUUCCAUCUCUCAGAUUUAGAAGAAAAAAUUCCAAAUCGAGCAUUUCUCCCUCAAGAAAUAGCAUCAAAAAUUUCUAUCAGCAGAAAAAGAAUUAGAAAACUAUUUCCCAAGUCCUUUGAACUGUCAAAACAUUCUAUGGAAACGACACUUUCUUAUUGCAAUGCAGAAGCUAUAAAGGGAGAAAUCAAGAAUUGCCCAAAAUCCCUUGAAGAAAUGAUUAGCUUCUCGAAGUUCGCCUAAGGCAAAAAGGAGUUACUCGUACUGGCUUCAGAACGCACAAGAAGAAGUGAAUUCCUGAUAAGAAAGAUCAAGAAAUUUGAUAGGCAGAAUGUAGUGGCCUGCCAUGAAGUUUAUCUUCCCUUUGCAGCCUAUUUAUGCCAUUCAACCUCUUCAACUCAAAUCUAUGCUGUAGACUUGAUUGAACCCGAGACUCGACUCCCAGUUAGCACUGUGAUUGCGAUAUGUCAUAUGGAUACCUCAGCUUGGCCUGCAAAUCACGUGGCAUUUAAAAUUCUGAAAUUCUCCCCUGGAGAAGGCGAGGCAUGUCACUGGAUGUCGAACAUUGAUCUUGCAUGGAUUGCGGUUGACUAGACGGUAUGAAAUUGGAAGGUGUGUACUUGAUCUACAGCGAUGAAGUAGACGUAAUUCUUGAGCAGUUGAGGAAACUCGGUCAACGUGGCUUGUAAAUUAAGAUUGUAUAGAAGCUUGAAUUCAGUAGGUUUGUGCAACAAAGUCAUCUUUCUUAUCAUCAGAUCCUAUAUUAAAUUGAUGGGCAGAGGUGAUCUAUAAGUGUACCUUUUUCAUUGCUAUUCUGAAAUGUUGAGGAAAUCUUGGUUCAAAUCCUAUAGGAUUGAAGUAUGUUCUCAAAUAUAAUUAUAUAUUUACCUUCAAAUAUUGAGAUGAAGAUGUUCCACCGUAGUCUGUGAAUUACAUUUAUCUCGGCAAUUAAAAGUAAUCUUUAGAAGUGAUUAAUAUGUGUUUCAUACUUGGCCUCUGUUUGGCUUAGAUUUUAAUUAGAUUUAAUUCCAAAUCAAAGUCAAAUAAUCAAUAUUAACUACAUCUUUCAUGGAUCCCACAACUUUUUAAUCACACAUUUCAAAAACUUCCAUCAAAAUCUACUAAAAAUCUAAUUUUAAUCCCCACCGAAUACCCUCUUGAUCAUAUUAGUUUAUUGAUUAUUUUAGGAGAAAAACGAUAUUGGACGAGGAUGGAUGAAAAGAAAUGAUAAUUUUUUAAAAAUGAAAAAGUUCGACAUAUGUAAGAAGUUGGGGACCAAGGAAUCAAGUUUGAAAGUUGAAAGGCUUCAAUUGCAAUAUAUGAGGAUUCAAUCUGAGCAAAACGAGGAAACGUGAACAAAUUUAAACAAGUGAUAGUAUAAUUUUCAGCAAUUUGGAAUAUCCUUAAUUGACUUAAAUUACGAUUCUCUAUCAACUUGGGACUCUAUUUUAGACCUAAAUUGACGUCUAAAAUAUGAAUAUUUCAUUCAAAAUUAAGGGUGGCUAGAUAUACAAUCUUGAGGCAAAAUAAUUACACAUUCAGAUUCAUCGAACCCUCGAGAUUUGCAUCUCAAUUUGGAGUUUGAGGAUUGAAGAACACAACUAGCCGAGAGAUAUAUCUACUUUGAAGAGAAAAUUGAUGAUACAAUAUUGGAAAUUGAGUGUCAAAGAACAACAAUUGUUAGGAUUCUUUUCUUUUUAUAUCGUAUCGGACUCCGUGAGUUUUUUAAUCCUUUAAUUUUUUUAUUCCACAAUUAUGAAUGGAUAAAUAAUUAGUUAUGAUGAAUGACGUAGCUUAGAUUUAAUAUUUAUUUAAUUCAAAAGAUUUCAUGUAACUUUGUCUUUAGCGUGGCACUUGCCUUUUCCCCAGCUGCCAUUAGGUUAUUAACUGUAUUCUAGAAUCUAGUAAGCUCGAUUUUAACAACAACUAACAUUUAGUUGCUCGAUCACAAAUUUAUUGGUUUAAGCACGAUACUGAGAACGAAAUGAAGUAUAUUUGUUUAAUUCGUGCAAUAUGUGACAUGUGUUUUUAUAAGAGAAUGAGAGGUAAUUAUAGCCUUUGCAAUCUUGAUUGAAUUCCUACAAAUUAAUGCCUUUACAUGUGUAUGAAUUUAUAUAGGGAUAUAUUAAAUUCGAGUAUGUGAAUAGGUCUAGUUUUACUCGAGAAAGACUAUUAGCUAAAAUUGGUUAAUUCCAUUAUUAAUACAUAUGAAAAAGGGGUUGAAUGAUGUUGGAUUGGACAAAUGUUAAUAGCCUAAGUGAAAUUGGUGUUCCUAACCACUUAAUCCUUAAAGUUCUCCACAAAUUAGUUUAGUUAGGUUAAAUUAGAAUAUUUUAGUAUAAAUUACUUAUAAAACAAAUACUUGAUUUGAAAAGUUUUUACAACACUAAUUUAGAUUGAAGCCAGAUUUAAGAUAAAAAUUGAUAGUAAGUAUUUAAUAUUUGUGAGUAUAAUACUUGUACUCAAAAUUCACUAUUAUUACUUGUAUUAGUUCAUACACUAGUGGAAUUACGCUAUCAGUCUGCAUUUGCUAUAACAAUGAGAACAAAAUUGAGUUGCUAUACGUAUUUCCUCUCCAUACUGAAUUACCAUAUGGCUAGUACCCUAAAGUUCCCUAAAAACCCACAGCCUUGAAAAAAAUACAUAACGAACAUAUGUAAAUAUGUGGACUCAAAGGUCAUAAGUUUUAGGCUUGUGUCGAACCUUGGCUAAAUGUAAGAGAGCUCCAUUGGUCUAACGGGCAGACCAAUUGUUGGGAAAACACCUCCCAAAGAUUGUCCAAGAUCAAACAAACUUACAAUGUGAAAAAAAAAUCCCAAACCACUUCAAAGAUAAGAAAUUGGGGAAGAAAUGAUUUUUCAAUAUAUAUGAAGAACAAUGGAUUGGAUUACUUGAACAAGCCUCAAGUUAAUCCCCAAGAAAGAAAAAUAGCUUUGAAUUUAUACCCAAGAAGAACAAUCUCUUACUUGUUAAAUUCUCUUCAAUCUUUUCUCUAUUUUUCUCUCUCAAAAUUGGAUGAUAAAUGAAGGGAAAAAUAGCAAUAUAUAUAGAACUAAAUCAGGCGCCAUGGCGCCUGCAUCACUGCUCCAUCCUUUCAAUUUGGGCGCCAUGGUGCCUGCCUCCCUGCACCUUUCUUUCUUACAAAUCUUCACCUCGUACAUCAUUUGAUAGACCUCAAAUUUUGGACGAAUACAAGAAGAAGUAGCAAGCGCCAAACUCGGCUGCACCAUUCAAACCAUGGUUGCCUACGUACCCAAAACUCGGGAUCAAGUCUCCGUAGUUCACCUCCACCUUCAUGUACUCUUCACCUCAUUUCAACCUCGCCCCAAAGAGCCAUUCCCACUCGGGCAUAUCAACACGGACUAAUGUGAAGCAAGUCCAAGCAAUACUGAAACUUGCUACCUGUUACCACUUUGGUUAACAUGUCUGCUGGGUUCUCAUUUGUGUGUACCUUCAAGAGAGAAAUAUCACGUUCCUCUAUGACAUCACGCACAAAAUGAUACCUGACGUCGAUAUGCUUGGUUCGAGCAUGAUGAACCUGAUUCUCAGCCAAGUGAGUCGCACUCUGGCUAUCACACCACAAGUCCACGUAAUCCUGCUCAAUCCCCAAAUCAUCUAGAAGACCCCACAACCACAAUGCUUCUUUCACUCCCUCUGCCAUGGUCAUAUACUCGGCCUCUGUAGUAGAAAGAGCCACUGUAGCCUGUAACAUCGAUCGCCAACUAACUGGGGCACCAUGUAUGCAAAACACAUAUCUAGUAGUAGAUCGUCGUCUAUCUAGAACACCUGCAUAAUCUGAGUCCACAAACCCACUUAUAUGACAUGCAUCUCCACCAAAACAUAAACCCGUAUUCGCGGUACCUUUUAAGUACCUCAGGAUCCACUUCACAGCUUCCCAGUGUGCCUUCCCCGGAUUCGCCAUGAAUCUAUUGACCACACUAACCGCCUGUGAAAUAUCUGAGCGUGUACACACCAUGGAAUACAUCAAACUGCCAACUGCACUAGCAUAAGGUAGACGAUCCAUGCGUACCUUUUCUUCCGCUGUAGUAGGAGAUUGUUUACCAGAGAGCCUGAUUUGUGGAGCCAAUGGAGUCACCACCGACUUUGCACCUUGCAACCCGAACCUAGCAAUAACCCGCUCAAUGUAGCCUUUCUGACUCAAGAACAUUCGCCGGUUCGUCCCCUCUCUUCUAAUCUCCAUACCCAGUAUUUUCCUAGUAGCUCCCAUAUCCUUCAUCUCAAACUUUUUAUCAAGUUGAGAUUUCAACCUAUCUAUCUCCACCUUGCUCUUCGAAGCGAUAAGCAUGUUAUCCACAUACAAAAGAAGAUAGAUAUAGUUACCUUCUCGAAGUUUUCUAAUAUAAACACAACAGUCAUAAUCACUUCUGGAGAAACCAUGCUUUAGCAUGAAGGAGUCAAAUCGCUUGUACCACUGCCAAGGAGAUUGCUUCAAUCCAUAUAGUGAUUUUCUCAAGCGACAUUCCUGAAGUUCCUUAUCCUCAACCUUAUAGCCCUCAGGUUGAUGCAUAUAUAUUUCCUCAUCCAAGUCCCCGUGCAAGAAGGCGGUUUUGACAUCAAGUUGUUCCAGCUCAAGAUCAUGAUGAGCAACAAUACUCAAUAGCACCCGAAUGGAAGUAUGCUCGACCACCGGAGAAAAGAUCUCAUUGUAGUCAACUCCCUCUCUUUGUGCAAAUCUCUUAGCCACUAACCUUGCUUUGAAUCUUGUACCACCGAGCUUGCUAAAAUCCUCUUUCUUUUUGUACAACCACUUGUAACCAAUAGCUUUCUUACCUAUGGGCAAUGGGACAACCUCCCAUGUUUGGUUCUUGUGAAGUGAUUCCAUCUCUUCUUCCAUCGCUGCCAACCAACUCUCACUAUUGUUGUUUAAAAUAGCUUCCUUGAAAGUGGCAGGCUCAUCAUUCUCCACCGAGAGUGUAUACUCAACCAAAUUUGUUUACCCAUAGUGCCUCACAAGCUCGUCUGACCCCAACUUUAAAACUUGCUUGUAAGUACGCCGUGGCCUAGAGAAAGCCAAGUUAUCUGCAAGCUGUUGUUGUUGCUAUGCCUGUACAUUCUCUUGUUGAACCGCCUCUUGUUCAAGCUCAUCACCACUCUCAUCUUGAGUGUCUGCAUGAUGCUUCUCUUGAACAUGACUAGAACCAGGUUGAUCUCUAGGUUCUAUUUCAACAACUUGAGACUUUGUAGUCUCAACAUCAUCAUCACCGGGCACUGUAGCUUUCAACGAAGCUAUCAUGGAGUUCUCAUCAAAAGUAAUAUCUCUGCUGAUUAUGAAUUUAGAAUCCUCUACACACCAUAGGCGAUAGCCUUUAACACCUGCCGCAUACCCCAAGAAUAUAGCCUUCUUGGCCUAGCAUCAAGCUUUCCCUUGUUGACGUGAUAGUAGGUUAUGCAUCCGAAUAUUCUGAGUUUCUCAUAAUCUGCAUAUUCUCCUGUCAAUACCCUGUAAGAUACAUCUCCAUCUAACCUUGAAUGUGGAGACCGGUUCACAAUGUAGCAAGCAUUUGCAACUGACUCUGCCCACCAUUCUCUGCCCAAACCAGCAUAGGAUCGCAUACACAUCGAUUUCUCUCGAAUUGUGCGAUUCAGUCUUUCUGUGACCCCAUUCUGUUGCGAUGUAUUCCUAACUGUCCAGUGUCUCGCAAUGCCUUCCUUAUCACAGAACUCCUUGAAAGCACCAUCUGUAUACUCAGUACCGUUAUCAGAUCGCAGUGUCUUCAAUUUCUUUCCUGUUCUGUUUUCAACCAUUGCUUUCCACUUCUUGAAAGUGUCGAAUACCUCAUUCUUAUGCUUCAAAAAAUAAAUCCAAGCAUAUCUAAAAUAAUCAUCAACAAAUGUGACAAAAUACCUGAAACCGCCUUUGGAAGUGACAGAAGCCGAACCCCAUACAUCCGUGUGCACAUAGUCUAGAAUACCUCUGCUUCUAUGUUUGCUUGGCUGAAACUGAACUCGGUGUGCUUUACCGUGCACGCAAUGCUCGCAAACAUCCAUGCAAGGCUUCUUCAAGUUCUUUAGCAAGCCUUUCUUGACUAGCAGAUCUAGCCCCUUUUCAGACAUAUGCCCAAGCCUCAUAUGCCAUAGCCGGGUGCACUCACAUGGGUCUCCACCACUUCCACUUGUUCCAACCGCUAAAUCUUCUGUAACUGUAGUACCCUGAAGAGCAUAGAGAUUGCCUUCACGAAUACCCUUCAUCACAAUCAAAGAACCACGAACAGCCUUCUUUACUCCAUUCCAUGUUACAAUCUUGCAACCACCGGAGUCUAAGGCACCAACAGAGAUAAGGUUCUUCCGCAAAUCAGGAACAUAUCUAACAUCCAUCAAUGUUCUAACCACUCCAUCAUACAUCUUGAUUCUUAUUGAACCGAGCCCUACCGUUUUACAGGAAUGGUUAUUACCCAUCAACACGGUUCCACCAUCAGUGCUUCUAUAGGUAGUAAACCACUUCCUAUUUGGACACAUAUGGUAAGAGCAUCCAGAAUCAAGAAUCCACUUACCGGAGAUUUCUCUAUCACAAGUGAUGGUGUAGCACUCAUCGCCUUUCCCUCCUUCCGGGGCAUAGCUAACCUCUUGCUUGACUUGCACCUUCCCGUUGUUGUUAUUCUUAUUGUUCUUCUUCCAACCCCUUUUGUUAGUACAAUUUGCCUUGAAAUGCCCAAGCUCGCCGCAUUUGAAACAAGGCCUUUCCGAAAGAGGUCUAGAACUCGAUCUAGAUUUUUCUCCCUUACCCUUUGGUCGCACAUUGCUUCUACCUCUUACAAAUAAUCCUUGAGCUUGCUCCUUGUUACCAAUGGUAGACAUGCCACUAGUUACAAUCUUUCGAAGAUCAUCCGCUAGAAGUGACGUUCUAGUGUCCUCCAUCACAAGUUUAUCACCUACAAGCAUCAAUGUUUGUACUAGGUUCUCGACUUUGGCAAUGAAAGAAGUAGUAGAAGAGCUUGAUCCUCAUCAUCUACUUUCACAUCAAUGUCCUUCAAGUCCGAUAUGCACCUAUCAAACUUGUUGACGUACUCCCGGAUUGGUGUACCUUCAUCCAUCUUGCAAGUAUACAAUUUGGACUUCAAAUAGAUCCAAUUAGUUAGAGUCUUCGUCAUGAAGUUCGUCUCCAACUUUGUCCACACCUCCGCCGCCGUUUCCUCACCAUCAACCAAGAAAGCAACAUCUCUUUCAAGGCAUAGAAUGAUAGACGCUCGUGCCUCAAGAUCUAGCUCUUUCCAAUCCUCGUCAGACAUAUCUAUAUGCUUCUUCUCCUUUCCCGCCAAUGCCUUGUACAACUUUUGAGAAAUUAACAAAUUUUUCAUUUGCAUUCUCCAAUAUGAGAAGUUAUUCUUCCCAUUGAAUUUCUCUAUCUCAUACUUCCCAAUCUUUACCGUUCUUCUAGUAGACAUGAUUUAUCUACUUGUUUAUCGGAAAUAAACCAACAAAGUACACUUGGAAAUUUUCACAAACACCUUGUGUGCACAACAAAGUUCAAGCCAACCACCAAAAAUCGGAGCUUAACCACCAUAAUUUAAGAAGAUGCUCUGAUACCAAAUUGUUGAGAAAACACCUCCCAAAGAUUGCCCAAGAUCAAACAAACUUGCAAUGUGAAAAAAAAUCCCAAACCACUUCAAAGAUAAGAAAUUGGAGAAGAAAUGAUUUUUCAAUAUAUAUGAAGAACAAUGGAUUGGAUUACUUGAACAAGCCUCAAGUUAAUCCCCAAGAAAGAAAAAUAGCUUUGAAUUUAUACCCAAGAAGAACAACCUUUUACUUGUUAAAUUCUCUCUAAGCUUUUCUCUAUUUUUCUCUCUCAAAACCGGAUGAUAAAUGAAGGGAAAAAAGCAAUAUAUAUAGAACUGAAUCGGGCACCAGUUUCGUGCAGAAACUUGGGCACCAUGGCGCCCGCAUCACUGCUCCAUCCUUUCAAUUUGGGCGCCAUAAGUGGGCGCCUGCCUCCCUGUACCUUUCUUUCUUACACCAAUGCAUUACUAGAGAAAGAGUCUAAGGGCUUCAAGCUGCUUAGUAAUAAAUACUUGUCCUUUCCCGUUAUGGCUUGAUGUCAAAAACUAUGCACAUAUAGUAACACUAUAAUAUGACUGUCCAAAAAUUCUUUAAUAUAGAAUUUAUGAUUAAAUCCAACGGACUUAGCCCUUGUUUGAGCCCAUCUUAUCAAAAAUUUAUUUUUUCAAAACUUAUUUUCAAUCACAAUUCUCCAAAAAAAUAAUGUUACAUGUAAAUUGAAAACUUUUUCUUAUUUUUUAACAACACAUUCUCCAAAAAACAUUAUUCCAAAAAUACUUUUUUUUCCCUUCCAAAUGGGGCUCUAACAAUGGCUUGAUAAAAAUUUGAAGUCAAUUUCUGUAUCUUUAGCUAAAAUUACAUUUUUCAAUAGUAAACUAAGAGUUUGUAUUAAUUUUCUUUGAAUUAGUGAUCACAUUUAAUAUACUACAAUCCUAUGAGAUCAUUCAACUUCAGACAUGCUAUCUUGAUGCCUAACGAGUAAAUACAAUUGUUGAAUGGAACAUGCAUUAGUAGACGUGUCAAAAUAAAAUGAUAUAACGCUAAAAAUAUUGAUGGCCGUCCAUGUUAGAAUUUGUAAACUUGUAUCAUAUUUGUUUUGGAAGUGUUGUACUGUGUCAAUAUCCUUGUUGCAUUCCAUCUUGCUGCAUAUUGAACAAGCGUGGCACUCUGUCCUCAGAUAAAGAGGUAUAACAAAAUAUCGAUCAAUAAUCUCGUUGAUUUCGUGAAAUUUUGAGAGAGAUCGAAAAAUAGUUUGAGCCGUUGACCCCCGGUCCACCUCUUAUUAGGGUAAAAGCCAUGAGGUAUAGACUUAUAUGGGGAGUACUAUAUAAGCACUUGAUAUGGGUACAAGUUCAUCAUCUAUUACGAAUUUUGAAGAUUGUUUAUGAUUUAUUAUGAGUUCAUUUUGCAUUUUAAUAGUGUUUUGGAUUAUGGUGAGGCUUACGAAUCCUCUCAUGAAAGAAAAAUGCUUAAGAAUCCAAUAACGCCUUUCUUAAAUAUCGAUUGUCCGAGCCCUUUUGGGGAAAUGGUUAGAAAAUAUGUCAAGAUAAUAUGGCUGAUUUUGUCUUGAAAGCUUGAUGAAAUAGAGAUGGGAACACUCUUGAUCAUGCUUUGGAAUGAUUGGCGAAACAGAAAUGAUAGUCUACGAAUGGGGUUGUUGGAAAAUAAUUAGUUGCAGUAACUUGUAGAAUAGUAAAAUGUAGAAAUAAAACUUAUCGACUGAUCGAGUUUCGUGACAGCACGAUGUUUUAAAGUGAAACUGUCCAUCAAUAACUGCUGGAACAUCUGUGGACCUAUGUAUUUGGGUAGAGUUUAGGCUGGAAAAAAUAAGUUUGGCUGGAGUAUAUUUUGUGGGUUGGGGGAUUGGGGUAGUUUAGUGGAUAAGGGGUUUGCUUGUUGAAUAGCACAUUCAAGGAUGGCAAUAGCAACAACGUAGAAUAAACCCUUUUUUUUUUUUUGGGUGUGAACAUUUCCCCAUGAAUAGUAACUUUUUUUUUCCAACCAAAAGAAAAUUGAAAAAUUGAAAAUUGCUGUUUUUACGCUAAAUCCUUUUCACUUCUACCGUUCCAACAAAUUUUGGGUAGAAGACAUGAAGAAGUUUUGGAUUGUGGAUUAAGCUAACCCAAGUUUUGGCUUUGAUAACAAUUUGAUGUAGCACCAAUAAAAAUACCCAAUGGAGAAUAAGAAAACCAAUCAGCAGGAAGAAGAAAUCAGAGGCAGAGAUGGCAAAAGAAGAAAUUAGUAGAAGGAGGAGAAUAAUGAAGAGAGGAAACUUUCAUCACAAGCCACCAAAUGAUUUUAUUCAAUCUCAAGUGUUUCAAUUUCAUGACAAACUAGAUUUAAAUAACAAAAAGAAAUCCUAAAGAGAAUGGGUUUGGGUCAAACCCUUAUACAAGCCCAAUUAUAUAAAUAAGAGUCCCAACAUAAAUAAAAGUCCAACUAGAAAACAAAUAAAAUGGAUGUCCUUAUCAGAAUGUCUUGAUUUGGUUAUAAGUUAGAUUCCUUUCUAUCGUUGAAAAAGUAGAUAUGUGUAUCUAUUUGACUUUCAUAUAUAUUGUCUAUGGAAGCUUUAAAUGCCUUGUUUCUCUUCUGGAUAUGAGUAAGACAAUAUAGAACUACAGUAAUCUUGAAGUAAUACUGUUAGUGGUAUGCAGUUCUAUUAGUAACUAUGAAUUGCAUUGAUUAUAUAACACUUACUAAAUGCCAAGUCUUUUAUGGUCAAGUUUAGAAUGUGAAUUGAAAAGGAUGAACAUGAUGAUUGAUAAAUUUUGUUACAUAUUCUUUGCUAUUUAAUUUUGAAAGAAUAAAUUUGCUGAAUAUUUUAGACCCACGUGCUGAAUUAAUUACAAUAACAAGCAAUCAGUCACUUAUGAAGUGUGUGUUUGAGCCACAUUAUUUUAAAAGAAUAAUUUUGGAAUGGUAAAUUGAUGGAGAACGCAUGAUUAAAAAAUGAGCAAAAGUUUUGGAUUUGUGUGUAAUGAUAUUUUAUUGAAGAAUGUGUGAUUGAAAUGAUAUCAAAUCACUGUUUAAGAAUGUAUUUUUUUAUAAAAAUGCGGCUCAAACAGGCCAUAAUUGUUUCUAGAUGAUUAAAAUAAUUAAUUUAAAUAAUUCUAUAUUUACACGAUCACAAUAGAUCAAAAGCAGCAAAUAAAUAUGAACAUCAUAUGAUCGCAGUGAAAAACUCCUUCAAUAGGAUUAGAAACUCUGGGUACAAUGGCUGUAAUAUCCACUAUAAACGACAUGACUUACAGUACGGUUCAAACUCGACUAAUUUUUAGUACUCUCUAGCCUUCUUUCUAUCACCAUAAUGGACCUCCUUGGGCUAGGUGCUAGAGCACCAGCUCUAGAACUCCUGGAAUCGUCUAUCUCUUAUGGAUGAUCAAGAACGACCUUGUUCUCCUCUUAUCAGAACCCUGGUCACUUUCGUAGAUCAUCAUAUCCCUAAUACAUGCUUCGGAAGUGGGUGGUUUGGUGUUUGAACAGCAGUCUUUUUGUGUUUUGAUCUGUGGCUGAGGCAAGAGAUAUUGGAAUAUGCCUAUGAUCUUCAAAGUACGUUCUCUUGACUUAAUUCAAUGCUCGACUUAUGUUUGAACAAUGUUUGGGAUAAACUAUAUGAACAAUGAUUUUGAGAUUAAAUCAAUAGAAUUAAUGGAAUGUGUUUAUGAUCUUCAACAAUGAGAUCUCGAAGAAAAAAUAAUGAUUCAACACAUCUUGGACAAAGUAGGGUAUGCAUAUUUAUAUUGGGCAGUUUUUGUGGUUGUAUAUAGGAUUGUUAAAAGUGUCUAAAAUUGCGACCUAGAGUUUCUUGAAAAAAUUAGGAUUUUGCUUAUGCUCGCCUGAUGUUGGGGAUUUCGCACCAGCGAAAGGUUGGCGUUAGGCUAGCAUCAUCAUCACUGUUUUGAGCGUUUGAGUAUGACUUGGCAUUGAGCUAACAUCAUUUUGAAAACUUUAAUUCUUUGUUACAUACUUGAGCCUAGGACUCCUAUUUGACCUAUACAACCAACCGUAUCUCUUUGACUUUAUUUGUAUCUCAAAUAACCUAGAUUUUGUCUAAGGAAUAGCCAAUUACAAUUAGGAGAAUUAAAUUUAUUCAAUCCCAUUGUGCCUAUCACACUAUAUACGUUGUUGUCAUAAAAUAUGAUGAACUUACUAAAGAACCUAAUCAGAGAACACCAGAAAUAGUGUCUCCAUAUUGUCUUAUGCUUGAUAGCGUGGACUAGGUACAGUGGAUAGAACAAAAAGAUGUCCCCAGUAAAGCACUAAAUCUUAGUGUUAGAGGCUAUCAAUGCUGUCAUCAUAUUGAAAUUCUUCAUUUUUGAAGCUUGGAGAAAUAGUUCCUCGGGCAAUAAAUUAAAGAUUAUUAUGCAAUUUCUCCAAUCAACCUUUAAAUGAGAAAGUAAAACCUCAAUUGUACAUUAUAAUUGUUGUUUGUGAAUGAAUGAAAUUAAAUCCUCAAUUGUACAUUAUAAUUGUUGUUCGUGAAUGAAUGAACCUGUUAAAAUAUUUGUUAAAUCAUCUAUCACAUGUCCAAUCUUAUCGAGUUAUACUUCAUGAAGUGAGGCACAUUUACUGAUAAUUUAGUUACAUUUGAAUUAUUUUCAUAAUUGGAGGCUAAUUGUGCCUAAAAUGAGAAUUAACCAACUAUGCGAACCAAUAAUGCUUUUUUCCUUAUCAGAAAAUGACUGCAAACCAAUAGAUGUAGAAGAAGGGUUUCAUAAAGCAUAAACAUCUAAAGGCUAUUAAUUUCUACACAAAUCAAUUAUGAAGCCAAUUUUCUAUUUUUUUUAAUGUAUUCUCUUCAUUAUUUGAGCAAGCCGACACUCUCUUUAGAGUAUAAUGUUAUUCAUAGUCGUUUACUGGAUGGUCAUCCAAAGGCAUCUUACAUAGUGAUUUAUGAUUUGAUGCAUUAAUGUGAUAGUUUUAUCUUACCUCAUAUAUCAAAUCACUAACCGUCAUAUGUACGCCAUGAAAGAUGACUACAACAGUGAGUGAUUACAAAUAACAUUAUUUCUGUCUUUAUGUCCAUACCCCGUCGGUCCCACAUUUUAACAUCGGCAUGACUAAAAAUUCAUAAUUAUAAUUCUAUCCCAGGUAUACUGAUAUUCCAAUGAAUAUUUCAUGUAAUGCUAUUUUUUUUUUCUGGCUACAUGUUGGAUUGGAUAAUCCCAAUUUGCAGAAUUUGAGCAUUUCUGUUCAAGAAUAUUCUUUAUUUAGAUGAUAUUUUGUCCCUCUGAUAAUUAGAUCAAAGUUUUUGGCCAACCAUUCAGAAGAUAGUGAAAAAAAAUACAGAGGAAGAUAUUUAAAGAAACCAAAUUAGAAAACUUGACUGGGGCGAGUGACACUAGGUCGCUCACCAAAAAAUAGAAGUUUGCAAGUUUAGCCUCAAAAAUUGAAUUAUCAAACCAUGUUGAAAAUUAUGAAUUGUUUGUCUUCUUGUUUCAAAGUAGAAAACCUUAUUUGUAGGGUUACAAAAAACUGUAAUAAAAAGACAAUUGUGUGAUUAUCACAAAGAAUAAUGUCUAUUAUUUUCAUAUCUUCGACAAAUACAUCUAGAUGGAAACUUUUUCCACGAUAAAGAACAAGGGGAGAGAGAGAGAGAAAAAAAAAAAGAUAAAUGGUACUCUAUAUCAAUAAAUAUUGUAAAUGCACCCAAUGAUUUCAGAAGCUUUGCGCUGCCAACGCUGACUAGAGUCUACCAAAAAGACACUUUGAUAUCUUGCUUUCCCGUUAAUUAUUAGAACAAAAGGAUGGCCCUCAUAAAGAAUAAAAAUCUUAGCGUGUUUGACAAUUAUUAAAAUUAAAAUCUUUUUUUUUUCUCAUAAUAAGAUAUUCUACGUGAAAACCUAAAAUUUCUUCGUAACUUAUAAUCACAUUUUCCAAAAAAAAUCACUAAUCCAAAAUUCAUUUUCCCCCAAAAAAAAAAAAAAUCAUUUUAAUGAUUGUCAAACAGGGUUUAGUGUUAGAGGCUCUGCGUAUUAAAAUUUUUCAUUUUUGAAGCUUGGAUAUAUAGUUCCUUAGGCAAUAAAUUGAUGAGUAACUAUGCAAUUUUUCCUAUUUCGUAGAAAAAUUAUAAAUUUAGUCCUCAAUUUGUUGCCUAAUUAGAAGUUGGUCAUCAACCUUAAAAAGAGGAAGUGAAUCCUCUACUUUAAACUAUAAUUGUUGUUAGUGAAUGAAGGAAUCUGUCAAAAUAUUUGAUAAAUCAUCAUGCAGCCUCCCAUGUAAAAUCUUACGACGAAGUUAGAUUUCAUAUCCCAACAUAGGUUGGAGGCAUAUUUUCAGGAUAAUUUAGUUGAGAUUUGAACUAUUUCCGCUCUUAGUCAGAAGCGAUUGAAUCUCCUUGUCCCAUCUCUUGGACCCUUACUAUUGGAACCAACAACGCACUUUCACUAUCAAGACAUGACUGCAUGCCAAUAGAGGUAGAAGAAGGGUUUCAUAAAGCAUAGAAAUCACAUGGUUAAGGGCUAUUAAUUUCCACACAAAUCAAUUAUGAAGCCACUUUGCUAUCUUUUUACUGUACUCUCUAAAUUAUUUGUUCAAGUUGGCAUUCACUUUAUGUCCGCUCAUGGCCGGUCCAAUAUUUUACCAUCAGCAUGACUAAAAAUUCAUAAUUACGACGUUUCUUGAAUUAUGUCCUAAGCAUACUAUUAUUCCAAUGAAUUUGGCAUGAUGUGAUGCUACCAUUUUCCUUUUUCUUUCUGGCUACAGUUUGGGUUGUAUGUUCCAAAUUUGAAGAAUUUGAGUUCCAGAAUUCUCUUUAUUUAUAUUGCAUUUCGUCCAUAAGAUAAUUAGAUCGAAGUUUUGGAUGAUGAGAUUUCAUUUAGAUUAACCUUCAUUUUUUAAAACUUAUUUUUCUUCAAACUCAUUUUCAAUCACACGUUUCGUGGGGCUCAUAACUUUUAUCAACUUUUUAACCAUGUUUUUCAUUAACUUUUAUCUAAAUGACUAAGUCUACUAAAAAUCUAAUUUUUAGUUUUAAACAAAACAAGGGCUUAGUAUGAUAUCAAGGAGUUGAAAGAUCUUGAAAUUGAGUGUUUUUGUAAACCAUUUGUGAAUAUUUUAACACCAAAUAUUUAACGACGUGGUAUAAUUACAAGAAAAUUCUUCCAUGGGCACAAGGAAUACCUACAUGCAAAAAGUCAAUUACCUUAAAUUUCACUUGCCAAGGUAAUAUUCAAUUGGAUCUAGAUGCAUAAAGUCAUUUAUGUUAAAUUUUACUUCUAAGGUAAGAGCACCUUCAACAAUUCUCAUUAUAUUAAAAAGCAUUUUGAGGUAGGGAGGGACUGCAUAUAACAUUAUUUUAUUAAAAAUAAAGAACAUUUCUUACAAGUCCAAUAUGCUAUUUAUAGUUCAUUAUUAUGAUUUUUUUGACAAACUAUCAUGGUUCACUGUUGUAUUAGAAUUUCAGAAGUGGACGAUGCUAUAAAGAAGCAAUAAAGUGGAUAUAAAAGUUCAUAUUAUUGUUUCUAUAAGGAUUAAGUACUUAAUCUAGUUCCAACUAAAUCUAACUUUUAUCGAAUAGAAAGACUUUCAAAUAGUUUUUUGUUAACAAAUAAAACAUAUAACUACUUUUAGCGAUGGCAAAAAAAUUCGCCCCGAAUGGGUUGGCGGGGUGGGGAUGUCCCACCCCGAAUCCACCCUGUGAAGGAAAAAAAUAAAAAUAAAAAUUUAAAAAUAAUUUAUUUCUAGACAAUUCACCCGUAAAAAACCUAUUUUGAAUUUGUAUUUUAUUCUCUAAUAAUAACAUAACUCGAAAUUAAAAAGAAAUAAAAAAAAUUCAACCAGGCAAAAAGUUUUCCCGUCUCCGCCCCUCUUAGACGGGGCGGGGUUUGGGCGAGAUGGGGCGGCGUCCCAAACCCGCCCCUGUUGCCAUCCCCAACUACUCUAGCUAAUCUAACAAAUUAAUUGGGAAGCUUUUGUGAUGCUUAAGUAAUAACGAACACUUGGAAUUCGAAUUUUCCUACAUUCAUCCAUUUAAAAAUCAAUGCAAGAUUUGGACAACACUUAUUUGUACUAAUCAAAGUUAAAACGUGUAAAUUAAAUUUGGCUUCUUCUUUGUAAGAUAUAUGUAAUUUCUGCCCCUAAGUUAUCAAAAGAUUGUAAAAAAUAAUCUCUAUGUAUUUUUUUAAAUAUGUGAAAUUAUUUUCCUUAAUAGUUGAUUAUGUGAUAAUUACGCAAGUUUCCAUUGAGAGUUAUUUGUAACCCUAUCUUCUACUUUGUAAUAGAAAUAUAAGUUUAUAACAAUUUAGCACCCGUUUGGCUCCCUUUAAAACUCUUCAAUUUAAUUAAAUUUUUUUUCUAUUUUCAACCACACAAUUUUCAAUAAAUUAAUAUUACACACAAAUCGAAACUUUUCAAUCUUUUACAAUCAUUCAUUUUUCAAAAAAACACUAUUCUCCCAUUAUAAAUUGAAAUAAUGGAGACCAAAUGAGGGCUUCUAAUAUUCUAACAUAUGCAAAAUUUCUCUCUCUAGAAAAAAGAAUGGCUACUUCACAUUCUCUCCCCUCUCUCCUCUUCUUUCACUUGGCCUUUUCGCUUAGUUUCACUUCCUUUGCGUCAACUCAAUACUCACCAUCAUCGAUUGCGUCUGACCAGAUCAAGUUCUGGUAUGAAAAUGUUCACAACCAAAUGCCAGAUUCUGUCUUUAAAAAACUAUCCCCGUUAACAAAAACGGAUCGUGAUUAUUACAAAAAUCUGAUAACCAAAAAAGAUUUCUCAGAAAAUCCUAGUUUUUGCUCACUUGCUAAACUCUCUUGUUCACCCGGAUUAAAGGAUGCUCGGCGAAAACCAACCAAUACGUACAGUAAUAAUGGUGCAUCACCUAUCAACUCCAAUGCGGCAGACAAAUUUUCUUACUUCAGGAUCUCAACCCUUACAGAAGGAAAUAAAUUCCAUCUCUCAGAUUUAGAAGAAAAAAU
rnacentral:lncRNA from 1 species